UACGAAGGGGGCUAGCGUUGCUCGGAAUCACUGGGCGUAAAGCGCACGUAGGCGGACUCUUAAGUCGGUGGUGAAAUCCUGGAGCUCAACUCCAGAACUGCCUUCGAUACUGGGAGUCUCGAGUCCGGGAGAGGUGAGUGGAACUGCGAGUGUAGAGGUGAAAUUCGUAGAUAUUCGCAAGAACACCAGUGGCGAAGGCGGCUCACUGGCCCGAUACUGACGCUGAGGAGCGAAAGCGUGGGUAGCAAACAGG
rnacentral:rRNA from 1 species